GACGUCUACGAGUUGAUCCUGGCUCAGAUUGAACGCUGGCGGCAUGGCUAAUGCAUGCAAGUCGAACGAAAGCCCUUCGGGGCGAAAGUGGCGAAAGGGCGAGUAAUACGAUCGAACGUACCCCAAGGUGGAGGAUAGUGUCGGGAAACUGACGGUAAUACUCCAUGUGCUCUUCGGAGGAAAGCUUUGGCGCCUCGGGAGCGGCGAUCGUCCUAUCAGGUAGUUGGUGAGGUAAUGGCUCACCAAGCCGAAGACGGGUAGCGGGUGUGAGAGCAUGACCCGCCGCAUCGGGACUGAGACACUGCCCGGACUCCUACGGGAGGCUGCAGCGACGAAUCUUCCGCAAUGGGCGCAAGCCUGACGGAGCAAUGCCGCGUGUGGGACGAAGCGUCUUCGACGUGUAAACCACUGUCAGAAUCUAGGAACACUGACCAGAUUCAAAGGAAGGGCCGGCUAACCUCGUG
rnacentral:rRNA from 1 species